rnacentral:lncRNA from 1 species
GCAUUGAGCCAGUUCUGAUGGAUCUAUCAUGUCAGGAAUUGCUCACUACAAAAAUUUAUUUUAUAUUUUUAAUUCUAACAUCAUGCAUUUGAACAUAUUGGCCGUUUUGAAUAGAUUCAAAUUGGUGAAUAUUUUCAACGGUUACGUCUCUGUGAAGAGUCAGAUGACCCUGGGAGACCCAGUGAUGGCCAUAGGCAGACAGGGACAGUCAGUUCCAGACCAGUGGUUAAGAGGAUAAGUUCUGUCGAUUACCGGUGCACUCAAGUAUUUAUUCGUUAAGUUCUUUUAGUUUCUUAACUGUAAUUAGAG